rnacentral:rRNA from 1 species
GCUCAAAUUUGAAAUCUGGCGUCUUCGACGUCCGAGUUGUAAUUUGAAGAAGGCGACUUUGUAGCUGGUCCUUGUCUAUGUUCCUUGGAACAGGACGUCAUAGAGGGUGAGAAUCCCGUGUGGCGAGGAUCCCAGUUAUUUGUAAAGUGCUUUCGACGAGUCGAGUUGUUUGGGAAUGCAGCUCUAAGUGGGUGGUAAAUUCCAUCUAAAGCUAAAUAUUGGCGAGAGACCGAUAGCGAACAAGUACAGUGAUGGAAAGAUGAAAAGAACUUUGAAAAGAGAGUGAAAAAGUACGUGAAAUUGUUGAAAGGGAAGGGCAUUUGAUCAGACAUGGCGUUUGCUUCGGCUUUCGCUGGGCCAGCAUCAGUUUUAGCGGUUGGAUAAAUCCUCGGGAAUGUGGCUCUGCUUCGGUAGAGUGUUAUAGCCCGUGGGAAUACAGCCAGCUGGGACUGAGGAUUGCGACUUUUGUCAAGGAUGCUGGCGUAAUGGUUAAAUGCCGCCCG